UGAUUGCUUUUUGAAUUACCA
rnacentral:piRNA from 1 species